GCCCUGAUGGUCUAGCGGUAUGAUUCUCCCUUAGGGUUGACAUUUGUCAGCGCACAUGGGAGAGGUCCCAGGUUCGAUCCCUGGUUAGGGCC